rnacentral:snoRNA from 1 species
AUCAGAUCGAUGAUGUUAAUUGAAAAACUGCGUUAUCUAUCUUAAAAUCUCCAAAAUAGGAGUUGCAGAUACUAACAGAAACGCUGAGAUCUGAU